CAUCAGUGGUGGGUUGCUCCCGGUUCUGUCCAGUUCUUGUGAAUCAUAAAAGCAGCAGGAGGCUCUGCCCACCCGCCCGGAUGUCAUAAUGGAUGAUCUGUGCACGCGCUCCCAUUGCGAACUGGUAGUAAAGGUAAGUAGAACCCACUCCUGAUUUGCAUCCUGAUUAAGAUCAGACUGAGGAAGGUGAGUCUCCUUUUUUUUCCUUCAAUCCCAUCCCCAAUUACUGGCAUAUUUAAUGUUUUUAAACCUUUGCACAAUUUGAUUGUUGGCUAAUUUUGCUGUUACUCUAUUGCAACAUUGUCCUUGUCCUUCCUGCCAUUUAUUGUACUUUUUUCCCUCUCUUCUUCCACUGAUUUUUUUUUUAUUUGACAUUUUAAUGUAUAGAUGCAUUACACAUAGGAUGGUAAGUGAUAUAAAAGUGCAAUUCAAAAAGUAGUCAAUAUGUUCUUUUUACCAGCACAGCAAUAUUUUUAAAAAAUUUAGAUUUCUUCAUUAAACAUAUUGUCAGGUGAGGUUCUUGGGGAAAGGGGAAGUUGUGUUAGCUGUCACUAAUACAACUUUAUUAUAGAUGCAGAGCAGAGAUUGUUGACCUAGAAUUGCAGAUUCUGAUAUUUCAGGCAGCAUUUGAUUUUGCUAGCUUUCAAUGCAGCCAAUACCUAAAUAUUGUAGACUUUACUCAGGUCGUGUCUGAAGAGAACUCUUUGUCUGUUUUUGUUCUUUUAGCCAAAGUUGGUGAAAUCUCAGCAAAGGCUGAUAAAAUCAAUCAGGAAGGAUUCAAAAAAACUGGGGGCAGGAAAUCAGGCCAGAACAUCUCAUUCUCAUCUCAGAUGAAAACCCAAACAAUUAUUCACUCUUCAGAAUUCAAAUUGUUUGAAUAGUGGAUGUGAGAGGAGGCAUAAAUGUUCUUAGAGAUUUUUUGGUAAUUUAGGCAAUGUUUAAUAAGGAGAAGAGGAAGGGUGGAGAGAUAGCACUGACAUAGCUAGGUGAUAACUUUACUCUGCAACACAGAGCAGAAAGAAACAAGGUUAGAAAGUUCAAAAAUGGGGAAGAAGUAGCCCCUCCAUUUUCCCCUUUAUUAAAGCAGCAAUGCUGAUGCCGCCAUGGGUGCCUUAUUAAUUUCCGGAGCUAUAGUCUUUUUUAAUAGUUAUAAGCAGGUUCUCUUUUUGGCUCAAUCUCUAUCUUCCAUAUGCACACAGAUACUGUAUUUUCAACCGAUAAGUUAGGAAAUCAGACCCUGAGUUCAAUUUUCGUAUAUCAGCUUGGAAAGAAAAACAUUCAAGUGAGUUGGUCCUUAGAAUCUCAAAAUAUGUUAACUGACUGAUUUGAUUUAUAUGGCUGCACACCUUGCUUCUGCAACUCUAGAUGCUUAACAAUGCAGCAAUUAAACCCAUAACAGUCAAAACUAAAAAUUUAAAUAACAAUAACAUUGGUACAAUGCAGCCAAGAUCCUAAAAGAAACAAACAAAAAUACAUUGUGUCCUAUAACCAGGGCUCAUCUAAUAACCUAACAUCCUGGCCAGUUCCUGGGGAAUAACCAGGUUAUAAGAGUUUUCUACAACAUCAAACAGGGUUGAAAUGAUCAAAUCUUGGGGGAAAUGGUGCUCCAUUGGACAAGUGGUACAACAACAAAGAAGGCAGAUCUUCCAGGUCACAGUGGAUGACACUGUUUCAAAGAAGAGACCUAGACCAUGCUCACUGUAGAUAAGCAGAAAUGAUCAGAGACAGGUGGUCCUGUAAAUAACUAUGCUAUGUAGGAGUUUAUAGGUAAUAAGGAGCAUCUUGAAGUCUAGUGGGAGCCAGGACAGCUCAAAACCAAUAGCCACUGGAUUUUAUCAAAGUUGACCCACAACCAUUUCUUUCCCAUGCAGACCCUCAUAGCCUUCAAACAUUGGGAAAGUAUCUCAGCAUUGCCUAUCAACCUGGAACAAAAAUGUACAACUCAGUAUCAUCAGCAUACCAACAUGCCUCACCCUAUGACAAUGUCUAAUAGCUAACCUAACAGGUUUGUCUGCCAGAGAUCAUCCAUGAAUGCGACCAAUGCUGCUUCAGUCCUAUAUAUGGGCCUCAAACCUGACUGAAAAGGGCCCAAAUAAUCCAUUUACUCCAGGAUCCUCUGGAAUUGCCACCUAAACCUAAACCUAAAAACCACCUUCCCUUAAAAAAAAAAAAAAGCUGGUUGUUACUACAAGUGAAAGGCCUGCAUGACUUCUAGCUCUAAUCUGGAAAAUCCUGGUGACUGGUGAUUUGGGUUGUAGUCUUAAAUCCAACUGGAAGGUACCUGGACAUUGCCAUAAGAAAAAAGAAGAAGUUAUCCUAAUUGGUUGAAAUAAACAAAAGCCCAUAUAUGGUCUACUCUUAUCAUACACCUUCUGGAUACACGUGUUACUCUCGAUGCCCCCUCCUCUUUGCCACAUAGUCACAAGAACAGUUUGUAGAAAUAUUUCUGCACUUUCCCGAAAGCUUGCAAAACCAUAUACCUGCCCAAUGGUAUACUUCUGCUUUCUAAGUGACACGUUGACUUUUAUACAAGUUGGUAAUAUCUGAUCUUGUUAUAAUCCUAACAAAUAAACAUAAAGCACUUGUAUUAUAAAGCAUUGGGGUCUUGCUUCACCAGGAGAUGUGCUUUCUCUGCAACAGUGCCUGGCACAUUCUUCAGAAUUAUCUUAGCUACGUCUCCUUUGAAAGUCUGGAAGGCUCUCAAGGCCUGGUUAUAUUACCAUUAGGCCUGGGACUCCCAGAGAAAUGGAAAUAUUGGU